rnacentral:rRNA from 1 species
GACGAACGCUGGCGGCAGGCUUAACACAUGCAAGUCGAACGCAUCCUUCGGGGUGAGUGGCAGACGGGUGAGUAACGCGUGGGGACGUGCCCUUCAGUUCGGGAUAACCCAGGGAAACUUGGGCUAAUACCGGAUACGUGCGAGAGCAGAAAGAUUUAUCGCUGAAGGAUCGGCCCGGGCUUGGUUAGCUGGUUGGUGGGGUAAUGGCCCACCAAGGCGACGAUCAGUAGCUGGUCUGAGAGGAUGAUCAGCAACAUUGGGACUGAGACACGGCCCAAACUCCUACGGGAGGCAGCAGUGGGGAAUAUUGGACAAUGGGCGCAAGCCUGAUCCAGCCAUGCCGCGUGAGUGAUGAAGGCCUUAGGGUUGUAAAGCUCUUUCGUCCGGGACGAUAAUGACGGUACCGGAAGAAGAAGCCCCGGCUAACUUCGUGCCAGCCGCCGCAGUAAAAC